CACAAACGCGAUCGAGUCGGACGCCAUGAGAACGGAAACCAACCGAGACACGAAAUCGCGGCCGACAGACUUUGAACUGCGGCUUUGCGAAAGAGCCUCGGAGGAAGGCUGUUGCCCUAUAGCUUUCGGUUCAGUUCUUCACUGGAACUUUUUCACUCUUCCUCCUGUCAACUAGCACUGUGGGAAGAAUUUAUACAAAAGCCCUCUAAUGGAUACCCAAACCUUUUCCUGCAUGCACACAAUGUGUGAGAGGCUCCAAGAAGACUUGCUAAGUUACAAAAGGGCAAUAAGAAAAGGAAGGUGAAGCAGUCAGAAAAUCAUUAAAGGUGUUUAAGGAUGUCAAGGAGGAUAAAUGUAAUGGAUUUCCUCUGUCUGAUGGAAGUGGCCCAAGCAGUAAACACGGUAUGGAACACUAUGUUAAUCACUCAUUCCCUACGCAGCCACAUUAGAAAAGACCCUUCUUCUUUAUCACGUUUACAUUAAUUGCAGUCUAUGGAACUUUCUCUCUCUUGGACGCUUGUACAGAAUGGACAUGCACAUUACAGUGGCGAUUGGGUGUCUGGAACUCAACUCUCUUGAAUGUAAAGGUAAAUGUUUUUCACGCUCUAGUGCAUCAUAAUGAAUUUCAUUUUUAUUAAAUCCAGUUAAAAGCCAGCAGCUCUUACACAAAAAAUAAAUAUAUUUUCUAACACUACUGUGUUCAGACUGUGAAGUUCUGAAGGUGUAAGUUGUGCAUAGGCCAGAAAGAACCUAAAUCAACAUAGAUAAUUUAGAAUUCUGUUCCCCUAUAUUCAAUAAGCUGAAAUGCUGUCACCAAGUUUCCAAUAAGAAACAUGUAUAUUCCUUUGCAAAGACGGGCCGGUGACAAAUUUAAGAUUAAAUCUCCUGCUCUCAUGCAACUCCUAAACUAGAUUUCUGUCUUUUCAGGAAACUUGCCCAUUGUGUUUUUUGAUGCAUCCUUUCUUGCUGUGACUCCUUAAAAAAAUAAAAACUGCAUAUACUUUACUUCCCAUUUUGACCUGGGUAUUAACUCUUUUAGGGCUGAUGUCGACUUUUGUCAAAAGGAGGAAUUUACAGUGGCAAUCAACUGUA